rnacentral:lncRNA from 1 species
UGUGAAUGCUGAGGCUUAUUGUGUUGACUGUACAGUCAUCACGGAUGCUGCAUCUCGAGGACAUGGUCACUUCCUUGACUACCUCUCCUGCCUCACAGGCUGGUCUCUAACUGCUGGGCUCAAGCAAUCCUCCUGCCUUGGCCUCCUAAAGUGCUGGGGUUAUAGGCAUGGGCCACUGUACCUGGCCAACAGUGAACUCUGUGUGCCAUGUGCUUUCCAUGUAUUAUCUCAUUUAAUCGUCAGGUCUACCUGAUCAGGCUGGAGUGCACUGGUGUGAUCUUGGCUCACUGCUACCUCCACUUCCCAGGUCAA